rnacentral:rRNA from 1 species
AACGAACGCUGGCGGCAUGCCUAACACAUGCAAGUCGAACGAGACCUUCGGGUCUAGUGGCGCACGGGUGCGUAACGCGUGGGAACCUGCCCUUAGGUUCGGAAUAACUCCCCGAAAGGGGUGCUAAUACCGGAUAAUGUCUUCGGACCAAAGAUUUAUCGCCUUUGGAUGGGCCCGCGUUGGAUUAGCUCGUUGGUAGGGUAAAAGCCUACCAAGGCGACGAUCCAUAGCUGGUCUGAGAGGAUGAUCAGCCACACUGGGACUGAGACACGGCCCAGACUCUUACGGGAGGCAGCAGUGGGGAAUAUUGGACAAUGGGCGAAAGCCUGAUCCAGCAAUGCCGCGUGAGUGAUGAAGGCCUUAGGGUUGUAAAGCUCUUUUACCCGGGAAGAUAAUGACAGUACCGGGAGAAUAAGCUCCGGCUAACUCCGCG